CUCCAGACUCCUACGGGAGGCAGCAGCGGGGAAUAUUGCGCAAUGGGGGAAACCCUGACGCAGCAACGCCGCGUGAGUGAGGAAGUAUCUCGGUAUGUAAAGCUCUAUCAGCGGGGAAGAAAGAGGACGGUACCCGACUAAGAAGCCCCGGCUAACUACGUGCCAGCAGCCGCGGUAAUACGUAGGGGGCGAGCGUUAUCCGGAUUUACUGGGUGUAAAGGGAGCGCAGACGGCGAUGCAAGCCAGGAGUGAAAGCCCGGGGCCCAACCCCGGGACUGCUCUUGGAACUGCGUGGCUGGAGUGCAGGAGGGGCAGGCGGAAUUCCUGGUGUAGCGGUGAAAUGCGUAGAUAUCAGGAGGAACACCGGUGGCGAAGGCGGCUUACUGGACGGCAACUGACGUUGAGGCCCGAAAGCGUGGGGAGCGAACAGGAUUAGAUACCCGAGUACU
rnacentral:rRNA from 1 species